AUGCGGUAUGACGGUACCCUUUCGAAUAAGAGGUUGCUAACUCUGUGCCAGCAGCAGCGGUAAUACAGAGACCUCGAGCGUUAUCCGGAUUUACUGGGCGUAAAGCGUCUGUAGGGGGUUUGUUAAGUUCCAAGUAAAAUCUUAAGGCUCAACUUUAAGUUCGCUUGGAAAACUAAUAAACUGGAGUCCAGCAGAGGUGCAUGGAACUUGCGGUGUAGGAGUGAAAUCCGUUGAUAUCGCAAGGAACACCAAAGGCGAAGGCAUUGCACUGGGCUGGUACUGACCCUGAGAGACGAAAGCGUGGGGAGCAAAACGGAUUAGAUACCCGUGUAGUCCACGCCGUAAACGAUGGAUACUAGAUGUUCAGGGAUUCGACCCCCUGGGUGUCACAGCUAACGCGUUAAGUAUCCCGCCUGGGAAGUACGGCCGCAAGGCUAAAACUCAAAGGAAUAGACGGGGAUCCGCACAAGCGGUGGAGCGUCUGGUUUAAUUUGAUAGUAAGCAAUGGACCUCACCAAGGUUUGACAUCCUAUGACAACCCUGGAAACAGGGCUUCCUUCGGGCAUAGUGACAGGAGCUGCAUGGUCGUCGUCAGUUCGUGCCGUGAGGUGUUCCGUUAAGUCGGGAAACGAACGAAACCCUCGUCGCAUGUUACAAAUUUCAUGCGAGACUGCCCGGGUCAACCGGGAGGAAGGCGGGGAUGACGUCAGAUCAGCAUGGCCCUUAUACCUUGGGCUACACAGGCGCUACAAUGGCCGGUACAAAGGGU
rnacentral:rRNA from 1 species